GUUCUCCACUGAUUUUACUUGACUAUAUUUUAUUUCUCUUUGGAUUCAAGUAAUAGUUGAUUACAUUUUGCUUUAUGUUAAAUGCCUUUGUCUUUUUCUACUUGUUAGGUUAUAAACAUCUUGAGAGCAAGGACUAAAUCUUACUUAUCUUUAUUAAGAACUAACAGUGGAACACACAGAAAAUCCAUGGAUAUACUGUCAGACUGUCACCAAAUAUACAUUCAACAUUUUUCUUACUUGUGAGACUGAUUUUGAGAAAAUUUGCUAUCACAGAAUCACUAAACUUUAGAGCAGGUAGACUCCUGCAAUGAUUUUAUUUACUUGCUAUAUUUUACCAAUAAGAAAACCGAGGCAUAGAGAAGUUGAGACUUUCUACACACCAGUGCCUAGUCUUCAUGAUGCUUAUGCCCAACCCUGAGUCCUUUCCUCUAUAUAAUCAAAAUGUCACUGAUUUAUUCUUGUUAAGUUUAGGUUGCAAGUGUAAAAAUCUAUAAACAAUCAAAAUGAUGGUAGGACAAAAUGAAAAUGGAUGUGCAGUUGCUGACUAAUAUUAAUCUGACAAAUUUUAAAUAGUUUUCUACAAAGACACCCAAAUCCUUCAUAACAAAGUCUCAUUUUUUUGUGUCAUUGCAUUGUCUGAGACUGUAUAUGUGUAUAUAAUGUAUAUAUCUUUAUUCUAUAUAUGUAUAUUUGCAUUAUAUUUGUAUAUACAUUUGUGUGUAUAUUCACAUAUAUUUCAUAUCUAUAGCAUCAACUACUUCAUAAUACAAGUGAUAUGUGUAACUUUCAAGUAAAAUGGUUUAAAGAAGAAAUUGUUUGCUUGCCACUUAAUCUCUUUUUCCCUUCUUACAAAAUGGAACAUGGACUAGUAUGUGUAAUCCAACCUCAACCAAUCCAGAGAAGAACACUGGAGGAAAUGGAAGAGAAACAAGAUAUCUAUAGGGAAAGAGCUUCCCUGCUGGCCUGGAAAUGCUCAUCCCUGGAUCGUUAGAUAAGACAGAAAUAAAAUUCUAUUUUGUUUGAGACUUUGAAUUUUAGGGUUUUGUUGUUGUUGUUGUUACAGCUGCUUAAAAUAUACACCCAAAGUAAUAUAUUUGCCAUC
rnacentral:lncRNA from 1 species